rnacentral:tRNA from 1 species
GCCAGGGUGGUGGAAUGGCAGACACGCAGGAUUUAGGAUCCUGUGCCCAUUAUGGGUGUAAGGGUUCAAGUCCCUUCCCUGGCA